GGUGUGUGUGUGUGUGUGUGUGUGUGUGUGGAGGGGAUGUAGCAGUUAGAGAAAGAACAUGGACAGUCCCUCUUAUCUAAAAUCUUUAUUUCUCAACAUCAGAUUCAUGCUUGCAGGCAUUGAGAGGGGACUAAGGGAGAAUUUAAUCUUAAACAUUCCUCCUGUGCUCCAGUAAGACUUAAUAUUUUUCUUAGCCUAGAUUUCUACACAUUCAUGGGAAACAGUUAACACGCGCCUUCACGUCUCUUCCUCCACAGAAGUGGGGAAGAAACUUCUAAACAGCCUCUAAUUCACUAAGCAGUGGAUGGAGGGUUUGUGUGAAAUCUCCAUACCUGCCCUGUGGCAAACUAGUCACUCCAGAUUUCUUUAGAUUCCUUGACAGGUACUGAACUUUUCCCAUUCCGUAGUGGCCACUGUAGCAGUCAGGUGGCAUGUAAGGCCCAAUCUUGUUGCAGCCUGUGUUAAAAGCAUCUUAAACUGAAAUGUCUUUCCUUAGCCUCUCUUUGGAGCUCCAUGUCCUGACUGCACUGCAGGGCUUAGCUCCUGUCCCCCUACUUUGAAGCAUGGUUUGUAGCACUGCUUCAUUUCAAACUUCUUCACUAAUGGCAACACCUGUAGUGUGUGUUGCGUGGAUAGCACCAAGGACUCCUGCUCUAGUAAUCAAUUGUCAUUAUGGAUUGGAAGUAUGUAUGAUCAGUGGUAGUCAGACUUCUUUGGCUUCUGUUAAUUUAUUUGUGCUGUUUGUGCUCGUUUUUUUAUUUUUUGGUUUUUUUUAAAUGGGCCUAACUGUUACAAGAAAAUAAAAGCCCGUGUGAAUGGA